ACAAUGUACUUCAUCUUGACAUGCAUAGGCCACCUCAGUGUAAAUUACUCAAAGUAAAUAUGGCCAGGAGUGCAGCUUCUUCCCCACCGGCCUGGCAAUCCUGACCCUACAUGGGUCCCGAUGCUUCAACAUCAGGAGAGAGAGAAAAAAAAAAUUCCGAACUCCUACUGAUGCUCUCCUACCCCAGCUAAGCACCGACACCUGGCAUUGAGAUCCAGGAGGAGGCAGAGUUCCACCCACCACUGAAGAAGCUGGAGCUCCUGAGCUUGGCUCCUGGGGACCAGCAGCAAGCACACAAAUUUGGCUAAAGUCACCUUCUACACGCAGACCUAAGACCCUGUAUCUCCCAUCUACACACAGACCCCUGUGAGCCAUGAAAGACUUCACUCAAACCUCCGCUCAACUGGGGACGUAGCUCAGCGAUGGGACGUUUGCCUAAUGUGCCUAAGGCAACAGGGAGGAGAGGAGGAACGGGGAUGAGAGAUGAGGGGUUGCCUCUCUCUCCCUCUGUAAAGAAUCUAAUCACACCUACAGCUAUCCCAAAGGACCACAACCACCUGAGAACCGCCGAUGUAGCAACUGCUCUGGCUCUUAAAUGGAGAAGAUGCCCUACAUUAAACAUAUAUGUGCCAAAACUAAAAAGCAAUCCUUGCUGUCCCGGACCCUCCUCUACUUCCUCACCAGCUCAGGGAAAGGUGGACUUGGGCUGAGGAAACCUAGGUUGUAGACCUUGCAGGAAGCCAUAUCCCAGGAGAUGCCACCCCC